rnacentral:rRNA from 1 species
UACGUAGGGUGCGAGCGUUAAUCGGAAUUACUGGGCGUAAAGCGUGCGCAGGCGGUUUUGUAAGCCAGGUGUGAAAUCCCCGGGCUCAACCUGGGAAUGGCAUUUGGGACUGCAAGGCUGGAGUGCGGCAGAGGAGACUGGAAUUCCUGGUGUAGCAGUGAAAUGCGUAGAGAUGUGGAGGAACACCAGUGGCGAAGGCGACUUUCUGGCCUAUAACUGACGCUGAGGCGCGAAAGCGUGGGGAGCAAACAGG